AUGCCUGAAGGUAGCACAGCAUAUACACUAAAAUUGGAAUGAUACCGAGAAGAUUAGCAUAGACCCCUGCUCAAGGAUGACAUGCAAAUUCAUGAAGUGUUUCAUGUUUUA
rnacentral:snRNA from 1 species